AAGCUCAAAUUUGAAAUCUGGCGGUCCUUGGCCGUCCGAGUUGUAAUUUAGAGAAGUGUUACCCGUGCUGGACCGUAUACAAGUCCUCUGGAAUGGGGCGUCGUAGAGGGUGAGAAUCCCGUCUUUGAUACGGACUACCAGUGCAUUGUGGUGCGCUCUCAAAGAGUCGAGUUGUUUGGGAAUGCAGCUCAAAAUGGGUGGUAAAUUCCAUCUAAAGCUAAAUAUAGGCGAGAGACCGAUAGCGAACAAGUACCGUGAGGGAAAGAUGAAAAGAACUUUGGAAAGAGAGUUAAACAGUACGUGAAAUUGCUGAAAGGGAAACGCUUGAAGUCAGUCGCGUCGGCUUGGAAUCAACCUUGCUUGCUUGGUGUACUUCCUUGUCGACGGGUCAGCAUCAGUUUCGAUCGCUGGAUAAAGGUCAUUGGAAUGUGGCACCCUCGGGUGUGUUAUAGCCUUUGAUCAUAUACAGCGGUUGGGACUGAGGAACUCAGCACGCCGCAAGGCCGGGUUUUUAACCACGUAACGUGCUUAGGAUGCUGGCAUAAUGGCUUUAAUCGACCCGUCUUGAAACACGGACCAAGGAGUCUAACAUGCCUGCGAGUGUUUGGGUGGAAAACCCGAGCGCGUAAUGAAAGUGAAAGUUGAGAUCUCUGUCAUGGAGAGCAUCGACGCCCAUACGAGAUU
rnacentral:rRNA from 1 species